rnacentral:rRNA from 1 species
UACGUAGGGACCAAGCGUUGUUCGGAUUUACUGGGCGUAAAGGGCGCGUAGGCGGCGUGACAAGUCACUUGUGAAAUCUCCGGGCUUAACUCGGAACGGCCAAGUGAAACUGUCAUGCUAGAGUGCAGAAGGGGCAAUCGGAAUUCUUGGUGUAGCGGUGAAAUGCGUAGAUAUCAAGAGGAACACCUGAGGUGAAGACGGGUUGCUGGGCCGACACUGACGCUGAUGCGCGAAAGCCAGGGAGCAAACGGG